AUCACUCCGAGCUGACGUCUAUACUUAAGAUUAGUGUGUCCUUUAAAAGGUUGCCUACAUGGAUUCAGUAAGAGAAACAAACAGGCCAUAUCAUUGUUUCUGCUAUGAGCUCUGAGUGUGGAAAGACCCAAUUUUUGUUUUGUCAUCUACUGAGGUCUAUUGUUAGUGUGUGACCUUUUCAUUUCAUAUUUUUUUCCCUUUCUUUGUUGGGGGAGGAUUGUGUUCUGAAUGGUAAAAAACAAACAAGCAAGUAAACAAACAAACAAAAUCAAGGGAAUUUGUGGAACAUUUUGUAGAACAAAACUGAAUUCAAAAACUGACAACUGCCCAGAGGGUUAAAAGGAAAGGUUUUUCACUUUCCUGGGGGAGAGGGGCGAGAUCCAAAAUCUUGAAGGUUUUACUCUGGAAGGAGACUCUAACAGGAGGAGCAUGUGGCCAAGCAGACCUUCCUUCUAGAACCCCCUGGAUCCCUGCUUGAAUGGCCAGGUUGCCUGAGAGCCAGGUCUGGGUAGGUUUGCCCAGGGUAGGUUUGAGUGUGCAGAGCAGCUGAGCCUAGCUGGAUGCUUUAAUGAGAUAGGCAGCUACAUGAAACAACAAAAGGGAGAUAAAUGUAGAAAGAGCAAGAACUACAAACAUAACAAUAGAGUGUUGGCUCUAUGUGACCAGAGCCUUCUCGCUCUCAUCCAUGGCGCCUGUAGCAGGAAAGCUCUGUACCACAGCUCAAAGGGCUGGGGCACUGGAAGGACCCACAACGAGUCACUGCUGCUCCAAUCCCACUCCCUUGACCUCUUGACCCUUGCAUCUGGGAAUCUGGGGGCAGACUCCGUGUUAUCUUCAUCCAUGACCCUCCUUAUUGUUUAGCUAUCUGCUGAGAGCCUUCCCGGCCCAGCCUUUGCUUACACUGACUCUUCCUGGUAGACCAGUAAGCCAGGACAUCCAUAAACCAAGUGAGACCAUCUGUGAGGUGUUUUGUUCCCUCCUGGGUUCCUAGUAGCUUGCACUGUGUCCUUCUCUCCUCAGAUUAAAGGUCCACUCAAGUCACCUGCUGCCAGAAACCUUCUGGUGCUCCUUACUGCCUGUGAAAUCCUUCACUGUCAGCCUCAAAUUACCUUUAGGACUAAACUCCCAUUCUUGCACUCUUCCCUGCCCCAAACCCACCACAGCUUCCAGGCUGCUGAGGAGAGCAGGUUGGUUAUGUGUUACUCUGUUUCCUGUUCUUUUAAUGAAAUUCCUAGGGCUAGAUAAUUUAUAAAGAAAAAGGGUUUGCUUAGCUCAUAGUUCCACAGUGUCAAGGGUGUAGCAUCAACUGACAUCACAAUGGCAUAGUACAGGACAGGAAGUAGGGGCAUGGCGGCAGGGUCUCAGAAAAGUUCUGCUAAUCUUUCUUAAGGGGUAGAGACCACAGGCUCUCCUCCUGUGCUUCCCUACCCAGGAAUCACCUUGUUGCCUGGCUACCCCUCCCUAAGACUGUGACCCAACGAGAAGCUGGAUCUGCCUUGGGGAAGCUGAACAGUGGAAUGGACUGCCCUUCAGGCUGGAGAGAUGGCUCAGUGGUUAACAGCAUAGGCUGCUCUUCCAGAAGACCUAGGUUCUAUUCCCAGCGCCCUCAUGGCAGCUCACAGUCAUGCGUAACUCCAGUUCCAGAAGAUUCAACACCCUCUUCUGAUGUUCCCAGGUACCAGGAACAACUGUGAUGCACAGACACACACUUAUAUUCAUAAAAUAAAAAUAAAAUUAAAAAUCUUCAUCUGUU